rnacentral:lncRNA from 1 species
CCCGUGCGAGGAAAGGGGCGCCGGGGAGAUCUCGGCUUUCCUGCACGCCCAGCGGCGGCCGCGGACCGCGCAGACGCGCAGCCCUAGGGAGCAGGAGUCUCCUCCGGCGCCCGGGAUCCCCAUCGCAGCUCCGAGCUGCCUAACGGAGCACAUCGCAUGCGCACCGAGACGCACCGGGGAAAGGGAUAGUGAGGGGAGGGACGAACGAAAAGCGCCGGCAGUCGGAGCCCGCAGGGGGUCACUGACUACGCAUGCGCCGGGAGGGAGCGCAAUCACAGACUAGUCUUGCGGCUACCGGCUUAAAAAAGGAAACCCCCGAGACCGAGAGCGCGAAGGAAAUCUGGCCGCCGACGCGUGCGCGCUCCCGUGAAAGAAAAGCACUAGAAGGAACUUUUAGUCGUUGUUGAUUUGGCCGUUACGCUGAUGCCCCAAUCAAAAAAAGGAGGGCUCCUGAUGGUUAGUUGAUCAGUUCUUCCAUUCAUAGUGAGGUUUUCUCUCAAGCCCUUGCAAAAGCUCCACAAAAGGAUCAUCCUCCUUAAGACUUUCCAUCAACUUUCUUUCCAGGAGUCCUCUUCUAAGACCCUUGAUGAUAGAGGACUGAGAAGAGCUGCAGAAUGGUAAUUAUAUUGCAGUCAAGUGGUGAGGGCUUAAAAUGAACUCUGCCUGUUAGCUCUGUGUGACUGAGUGA